GGGUCAGCCGCUGGGAGGGGGCGGGUCUCCAAAACCUGCCUUGGCAGGUUCGAUUCCUGCCUGGCCCG
rnacentral:tRNA from 1 species